UAAAGCAUUUUUCGAAGGAUUUCUCGUAAAAAAUUAUCCAUUAUAUAAAUGGAUGAACAAACGGAUGAGAGAACGAUAGAGAGAAAAGGAUCACUGUUGCCUCGGCUAUCGUUUCAUCUCCAUCCCCCUACCACGGCGAUAUUACAUCUACCUUUACCACCACCAUUGACAGUAUGUUCAACAUUGGCAACGAUGGUGGUGGUGGUGGUGGUGGCGGCGGUGGAGGUGGCGGCGGCGGCGACGGUGGCGGUGGUGACGGCGGCGGUGGCACCACCGCCAACAUUACGAUCGUCCUGCUUGCUUUCGCUCUCAGCAUCGACGUUGCUGUACCGGUGCGCAGUCGGUGGUCGCGGUCGGUGUCAGAUGGUUAAAAGGAACAGAUUCGAGAGCGGAGCGACACUCAUAAAGGAUAAACACGUUGCUAGUUGAUCCACGUGCUCCGGCCUCGCAGCCGGCAGCCGGUUCCAAAUCUCGGGAUUUUCGAUUCAGCCUCGAUUCGAUGGGAACCUCGAAAAGCGGAUCGAAGCGGUGAAAUAAUGUGUGAUAUAAAACGCGGGGAAACGAAAAAGCCGCGCAAAUUUAAUCGAAUCGGGGAUAAAUUCGUAUAUGAUUCUUUUCUUCACGCGUGUGUAUCAUCGGCCGUAAUGUGUAAGCACGAUAACGUCGAAAACAUUGUGAAAGAAGAAAGGAGGAGAAAGAACUGAUGAUUAAGAAUUUGAAAAAAAAGAAGGAAGAAAGAUUCGAGGAGUUAGUUGUGUUCACAUUAGUUGGAGAAGGAUAUUACGGUGAUUUUUAUCCUUAUCCAAAAUCGAAAAUGUUGCUCUUUUCUUUAAUUGAAAAUUGGAAUUGAACGCGCUCUACUAUCUCUCUACGUACUAUAUAUAUAUAUAUAUAUAUAUACGUAGAGUCGUGGAUUUGAUCGAUCGAUCGUAUUAUCGAUUCGAUUUACGAUCCGAGUAUAAAAUAUCCGAGUAUAAAAUCUCGUGGACGAGAAGAAAGAGAAGGAUCGUGGUGUGGUCGAUGUGAAAGAAAGAAAGAAGGAGAAGCGUAACGUUGAGAAGAAGAAGAAGAAGAAGAAGAAGAAGAAGAAGAAGAGGAGGAGGAGGAGAGGCGCAAGGUGGCCGGGGGCGAGGAGGUGACCACCACGGCAGAAGCCGCGGGACGAUGAGCGACGGCAUAGUCGGUGCAAUUGCGAUCAGUUUGUUUGGCAGCGAGAAGAAACGUCGAGACAGCAUGGAUGCUGGUUACACGAUACUCGGCAACGAUAUCGACGUUUGCAGAAUGUUCGACCAAUUUUCUUACAAGG